rnacentral:rRNA from 1 species
AUUGAACGCUGGCGGCAGGCCUAACACAUGCAAGUCGAGCGGAGAGGCGGACGGGUGAGUAAUGCCUAGGAAUCUGCCUGGUAGUGGGGGAUAACGUCCGGAAACGGGCGCUAAUACCGCAUACUAGCAGCUGAGCCAAGGUCGGAUUAGCUCGUUGGUGGGGUAAAGGCAGACAAAGGAGACGAUCCGUAACUGGUCUGAGAGGAUGAUUAGUCACAAGGGAACUGAGAGACGUUCCAGACUCCUACGGGAGGCAGCAGUGGGGAAUAUUGGACAAGGGGCGAAAGCCUGAUCCAGACAUGCCGCGUGUGGGAAGAAGGUCUUCGGAUUGUAAAGCACUUUAAGUUGGGAGGCGUUACCAACAGAAUAAGCACCGGCUAACUUCGUGCCAGCAGCCGCGGUAAUAC